rnacentral:rRNA from 1 species
UAGCGGCGGACGGGUGAGUAACACGUGGGUAACCUACCUAUAAGACUGGAAUAACUCCGGGAAACCGGGGCUAAUGCCGGAUAAUAUUUAGAACCGCAUGGUUCUAAAGUGAAAGAUGGUUUUACUAUCACUUAUAGAUGGACCCGCGCCGUAUUAGCUAGUUGGUGGGGUAAUGGCUUACCAAGGCAACGAUACGUAGCCGACCUGAGAGGGUGAUCGGCCACACUGGAACUGAGACACGGUCCAGACUCCUACGGGAGGCAGCAGUAGGGAAUCUUCCGCAAUGGGCGAAAGCCUGACGGAGCAACGCCGCGUGAGUGAUGAAGGUCUUCGGAUCGUAAAACUCUGUUAUUAGGGAAGAACAAAUGUGUAAGUAACUGUGCACGUCUUGACGGUACCUAAUCAGAAAGCCACGGCUAACUACGUGCCAGCAGCCGCGGUAAUACGUAGGUGGCAAGCGUUAUCCGGAAUUAUUGGGCGUAAAGCGCGCGUAGGCGGUUUCUUAAGCCUGAUGUGAAAGCCCACGGCUCAACCGUGGGGGGUCAUUGGAAACUGGGAAACUUGAGUGCAGAAGAGGAAAGUGGAAUUCCAUGUGUAGCGGUGAAAUGCGCAGAGAUAUGGAGGAACACCAGUGGCGAAGGCGACUUUCUGGUCUGUAACUGACGCUGAUGUGCGAAAGCGUGGGGAUCAAACAGGAUUAGAUACCCUGGUAGUCCACGCCGUAAACGAUGAGUGAUAGGUGUUAGGGGGUUUCCGCCCCUUAGU